AACAAAUAAUUAUGUCAGAUAACUGUAUUAAAAUUCUUGUAUGUAUAAAAGUAAAGUAAACUCAUCUGUAUAUCAGUUACAAUAUUUAUGCAGUGAAAUCUGUAAACCAAUCUCAUUCAGGACUGAAGUUCAAAAUGCAUUGAAUGUGAAUAGCAUUCGUUGCAUUCGUUGCUAUACCUAGAUUCAUAGAUUGUUUUUCUUUAUGUCCAGUGGCACCUAUUUCAUGCAUAUUUAGGACUUAAAGAAUUUAUAUAUACAUUUAUGUUGAAAUUAGUAUGUGGCUUACUCACCGGUUACUUCGCGCUGCAAGAUUUGGAUUUGGAUUAAGAAUAAAUAACAUGGUAAAUGUUCAUUAGCGUAUUAAGACAGUUAAACAAUUAGAUAUAACAACUCGCACAAUAAGUAUAACCAUCUACUCAAUUUACAAAUAUAAAUAUAAAAUAAUAUCCAAGAAAAGAUUGACAAUUUACACAAUGAUAGAAUUUAAAUUCAGUUAUAACACCAAAGAAAAAGUUCAC
rnacentral:lncRNA from 1 species